CAGGGAAGGGGCACUUGAGAAUCACUGGAGACUUCCUGGAGGUGGCAAUCACUGACUUGAAUCUUGAACCAUGUGUAAGAGUUGGGCAGGUGAAGAAUGACACCGGACUCUUUCCUGCUUUGGCAUAUGCCCUGAGUGCUUGGAAAUCCCUAAAUGGACCAGAGCAAGGACACUCCGUAGCGGCUGAACACGAAGACGGCACUCCACUGGGAUGACCUUUGAUUCUUGGCAGAGGAUAGCGAUUUCACUGAGGGAAUUCACUCCGGUUGAUGAGUCUCCAGUGUUUGUCGAGAUCUCUGUGGAAACAAACAUUCAGAGGGUCUUUGUGGAAGAGUCCAGAAAUAAUUGAGUAAGCCAGGAGACCCUUAUUCCACCCCCUGCAAAAAAUGUCAGGUUACACUUUCUUUUAAGGGCUCCUUAAUUGAUGGCCUUGUACAAAUAAUUACCAUUUCCCAGCACUUUCCCUUUUGCCGAGAAAAAUACAAAAGGAAAGUCAACCGAAUCAAGACAUAAAUUCAUUUUUACAGCUGAAUAAGCUUUGUCUUUGGUUGUUUUAAAAAUGAAAUAAAUGGGAAAAUAUUUGUUAGAGAAUAAUAAACACGCCCAGGUAUUUGCUGCUCUUCUCGGGCCAGGCUGGGAUUGAAGUGGCUCGGUAAGACCACCUGUGUUUCUUGGUGCAAACCCAACAGAGCUUCAGAAUUUGUAUAGUUGGUCUCAGUCCAGCGACCUGGCUACAUUCUUGGAUCUCUUACUCAACAUGAGGCAUCAAGAUCACUGGAAACUUUAACAAAAACAUCAACAACUGGAAGAGCCAGUUAGCCUAUGGUCUGACCCCCAGCCUGCACACCCUUACAUCAAUCUACUUCUAAUCUUCUGGGAAAUUAGUUCAGUGUUCAAGGCAGGAGAAGGGGCAACCUGAGGGUCCAGAUGCUCAGUCUCCCUUAGGAGAUGAAGAAUCUACAAUCACCCCAAAGCGUACAUUUAGAGGGUUGCGUUUCAGUCUGCUUUCCACUUGGCCAAAUAGAUGCCUUCAUAAUAACUCUAAAAGCAUCGAAGAAAAAGCAGCACACUCUGUAGGAUUCCACAAUGGAAUCCAAUAAAAGAAACAUAACUCAAAAUCGUUUCAGAAGCAAUUAAUAAGUUGCUACUCAGAAGCAGCUCCUCAAGGAAAUUUGCUCUUCAGCCCAAUCUAAAACACAUCCUGAAAACAGUAGCUGAGGAGGAAGGAAGACGAGAACGAAUCUUAUUUUCUACUUGUCAUUUUGGUACACUUCACAAUAUUUGGAUACUUUCUGAAUCAGCUAUUGUAGACGUUUUUAUCCAAGUUCCCAAAGGUCUACUUAGUUUAACUACCUUUAACUAAAGAUGACAAAAUGGCCACGUGACCUUUAACAGUAGCACUGUUGAGCCAGCCAGCUUUGGUCUUAGCACCAUCUUCCAGAACCCAGUUAUGUGACUGUGGGCAGGUAAAUUGAACCCUUUUAGCUCAAAGUUUUCACAUAAAAAUGAAAAGAUAGGAUAAGAUUCUGGUUUCCCACAGUGUGUCUCAUGAAGAAACAUGAGAUUUACAUGGAGGAAGAUUUUUACUUUUAUUUAGAAAUACUGUAUUUUGGGGCGCCUGGGUGGCUCAGUCGGUUAAGCGGCCGACUUCGGCUCAGGUCAUUAUCUCACGGUUCGUGGGUUCGAGCCCCACGUCGGGCUCUGUGCUGACAGCUCGGAGCCCAGAGCCCACUUCGGAUUCUGUGUCUCCCUCUCUCCUGCUCCUCCCCCACUCACGCUCUGUGUCUCUCUCUCAAGAAUAAACACUAAACAAAAAAUUUUUUAAAAAGAAAUACUAUAUUUUAAAAAUCAAAUGGAGUUUUACAACAAGAUUUCUCAUAUCUUUUAAUAUACUAAUUACUAUCAUAAGUGGAGGGGCUGCGCCAUGUAAUAAUAUGUAAGCUUAUUUGACCAUGGGACUCUUGUUCAUAGACUAUCAUGGGACUAGUGUAAUCUAAGGUUGCUUCCAGCUCUAAAAUUCCAUUUUUCCAUCUGAAGUAGCUAAUUGCAAAUUGGCAUGUAUACAAAGGUCGUCACAGAAAUUAUUAAUCAUCGCUGAAUGAUGUACUUCACAGGUGGAUGUGUGGGAACACAGAACAGAGCAGACAUAUUUAAAAUCCUACCUCAGCAGGAGGGUUUUCCUGUUCUCCACCUAUUCUCCUCACCCUUGGGGGGGUGCUGAUCUUCUGUGCAUACAUGCCAUGGUCAGAAAGAGAAGGUCCCAGAUUCAUCAUAGUGUGAACUGGUAUUACUCAUUACUGCUAUUAGUCAUUGUACCCUGUUAUCCCCCUGGCCUUUCCUAUGUGCAAUAUAAAGUCUAAGUAAUCGACAAGGUCUGUUUCUCUAUUUAGCCUUGUAUCCACCACACAUACUUCAUGUCUUUUCCAGAAAAAUAAGAGGAAUUGUAUUUUAAAAUAUUUUAAAGCAAUAACCUCAGUUAUAGCCUUAUACUUUAACUGGAAUACUUUUCUCAAUUUAAUAUUCAUGUAUGACUGACCUGUGCUCAAUAUGGAAUUUCAUAAGUUCCUUUCUCGUUAUUGUGAUUAAAACUUAGCAUCAAAGGUUAGGAAAGCAAAAAUUAUAGUAAAUGUGAAGUGACUGAAUUGUCUUUGUAGCUUCUUUCUAGUUUUUAAAAAUAUUGAUUGAUUGAUUGAUUUUGAGAGAGAGAGAGCACGCGAGAGGGCACACGAGAGAGCAC